AAAAGAAGCCACACAGGGAGCCGGAGAGGGGCUGCUUCUGGAAUGCACACCAGGGCUUGUCUGCACACACUCCCUGGCCCUCUGCGCCUCUUUAGGGAGGUUCCUGCUGCUGGAUCUGCUGCCUUCUUCACCUUGAGAGUGCGUUUAUGUAACAAGAAAACACCUGGGUGUUUUCACAGAUAAGAAGGUGGAGGCUCAGGAAGGUGGAGUGACUUUCUACUACUAAAGAACUAGCAGGAAAGUAUUUCAAAUUCAAGUCUCAUGACCCUGAAUGUAGGGUAUUUCCCAGUGGCUCAUGGUAAAUGAGUUCCUUAAAAAUGAGCCACUGCUGUCUGAGGCCUGAAACCACAGGGCUUACUGAUGUGGCUGCAAGCUGCAGCUCUAAGCCAGAAAGGGGACAAGCUAAGGAGAAGAGGAACCACCUUUGCACUGGCAGACUUCAGCGUGUCUCACGCAUGCCGAAUGUUUACAUGUGUUCCCCACUUGGUAUCCAUAGCAACUGGCAGAGGUGCAAAAAUGCUUCAUUGGUAUUUGUAAGAGGAUAGAAGAAAGCCCUCCAAGAUCCUCUUUCUCCCAGUGGGCAGGGCUAUUUCCAUCCAUGGCUUCGUGACUUCUCCCAGCAGCCGUUUGGCAUGAGGAUUUCAAACAGCAGGGAGCCAGUGAGUCCACCGGAUAGGUAUUUGAAAUGUACUGAAUGGAAAACCCUCAUCUCCUGCUCCCUCUUCCAGGCAAUUAUUCAUGGAGUCAGGAGAGGAUUCUGUUAUUCAAGGAGUCUCCAUAGUAAGGGGCUGAGAGAUUGUGGUUUCUAGUCUUUAACCACAACAUUUAAGGCGUGGCUCCAUUUUUCUUAUAAUUUCCAAGUGUACAUCAUUACCUAAUUCUCCCUGAAGAAUCGAAAUUGCUUUAUGAUGCAUAUGUAUUAGUGAUGUGAGCUGAGGUUCUGAGCCAGCAAACAUCUUUCUCAGAAACCUCCCUCUUGUUCUCCUCUCCCAUGUUGCCCCUUGAAGUUACUCCUUCUACCAGAGAUGCUCAAAGGUUCUUGGUCAGAAAGUCUAUAUUGCAGCAAUUAAAACUGGGGUUCAACUCAACAUAUGUGUAGCAGAAUAUUUGAUCUCUCAGCAUCUCAAUUUGUGACUUAAAUGAUUCAUGAGAUGUUUGUUAGUGCAUUAUGGUCAAAAGCACCUUUCUAAGUGCUUUGAGAGAAACAAGAAUAAAAGCAUUCCUAACCACACCCUGCCCCCUGCAAUCCCACCAAGGAUCUUACAAAACCCAUUUGGCUAAGCUCUUAUAUAGCAUUGAACCAAUCAUUGCACACUCAGCAUGUGACCAACACAUAUAUUGAAGCCCAUGUGAAAAACUGAGCACCUAUUCAAGUUUCCCAGGCAGGGCUAGAUUCAUGGGCAGGUAACCAGUGCAGUUGCACAGGGACCUCUGCUCAGAAGGCCUUGCUUGGGGUUUAAUGCACAAUUCUUAAUUUAUCUUUCAAUGUGUAUUUUGUAAGAGGAGUCUCAUGGGACAAAGGAGCUCACUCAUGGUCCUGCCUCCUACCCACCCUCUGUUUGGGCCCUUAGUGUCCCAGGCUCCACUCUACCUACUCCCCACCCUCUGCUCCACAACACUUGCUACCCUUCCCUCAGGGUGACUACUAGAUCAGGAUGGCAGACAGGGAGGCAACAUUCUGCCCACACCCUCUGCAGGGGCCUGGGAGCAGUUGUGGGGAGAGGCUUUGCUGGGUAUGCACACCAUGGCAUCCUGGGAAAGAGCAUAGCAGUGUUGUCCCUACCCUGGGCUGGCAGCACGGUGGUAUAUUUGGAAGGCAACUGGAUGGGGCCUUCUCACCCACUCCCAUCCAGGUUACAGGUGUGUCCUGGUGUGGAGAUUGCAAUCCCUUGGUAGGGGCACUGUAGAUAGACUGAGGAGAGCCAGGCUGUGGGAAGGAGAAACUAACUUAUCUGCCAUGGCUAGGCCUCAUUUUCACUUUGCACUUAGGUCCCACCAUUAUGUAGCCAGCUCUGGUCCUGGACCAAAUGGCCUCUAGUGACUCCCUCUUUCCAAUCUAAGCAGGUCUUGCACAACUGUCAUGAAUGAAGCCAAUUCUGAUUUCCUAUCAGUUCAAUUUUUUAAAAAUUGCAUUCUGUUCCUGAGAAUCCAUUCCAACCAUAAAAACAUGAAAAACUGAUUUUGAUCUCAGUAUAACAUCACCUCAUAAAUAUAUUUUAUAUAAUCACAAUCUUUAGAACUUGCUCUCUGUAUAAAAUAGGUUUCACGCCUCAGCUCUUAAAGGCACUUGUUUAUUAUGGAAAAUCAAGCAUAAUGUAAAAUUUACAUCGUAAGUGUGGCUUAUGAGAGAUUUUCCUGCAGAGACAGGACUGACUGAAGCUUUGUUCUCUAAACUUGGGCAAACAUUUUACGUGUUGAAAAGUAUCAUUUUGAUGAUGAUUUCUUUUCAACACUGUUCCAGCUUUCGAAGGAAGAAUUACAAAUAACAAGGCAUGAGAUUUCCCCCAAAGGUAUAUUUUUAGCAAUUUAAUACCUGGUAAAUUUUUCUUUCUUUUUGCUCAACAGCUAGGCGACUGCAUAGGAGGUUGGUCCAAGCCAACACACAUUCAUUGGACAUCUGCCAUGAUGUGAGCCAAACCCUGGGCCCCAGGAAGUAUGGAAAAUAUACAGAUAAAUUAGAAGGUCCCUGCCCUUAAAAAGCAUCUAAGACCCUUAGUUGCUGAAUAGACAUAAAUCUGUAGCUGCUGAAGGAGAUGGCCAAGAGCUAGAAGGAGGCUGGCAGGCAUUGCUUAGUGCCUUACUCCUCUCUGAGCACCAUAUUGUCAGCAGAAGAGGCCGCUUGGCCCAGGCUGACUGUGGACAGGUCUUGAUAACUUGAGGUCCACUGGGAGUUGCUGUCUGCAGCCCGACACAUAGAACGCCUUGCUUUCUGUUCUCUGUCUGUUAUAGAAGUUGCUUUUGGAAAAGCACCAUUUCUUGGGUCAGCAUGAAGAUUACCCUUGUGGUAGAUGCUGGAAAUAUUAACUAUUAUUAACAAAUAUUACUUAGGGCUUGCUAUAGGUGAGGCACCAUGCUGGAUUCCAGGCCUAUGGUCCCUGCUCUCAGGGCAUCAUGGUAUAUUGGAAAAGAUAUGUAAGCAAAUGACUGAAGUGUGUAUGGAACUUGGCACUGGGGAAGUGACAGUCAAAAGUCAGUUAAAUCUCAGCUCUGACUUCAGCUGGCAUAGUGACUUUGAUCAAUGCCUGCAAAUUCUCUGGGCUCUGGUUUCUUUAUUUGUAAAAUGGAUGUGUGGCUGAGGAGAAAGAACUUGUCUAUCUGGUCUCCAAGUUGACUUUUCUGUUAAAAUUCCCUGACUCUUUGAGCCUCCUAGAAAUAAUCGGCCCCUCAUAGGCAAGCUUCCCUUUGACCUGUGUAUUAGUUUUCUAGGGCUGCCAUAGAAAGUACGGCAAACAGGGCACCUGUAGUCCCAGCUACUUGGGAGGCUGAGGCAAGGAGAAUGGCGUGAACCCGGGAGGCGGAACUUGCAGUGAGCCGAGAUCGCGCCACUGCACUCCAGCCUGGGAGACAGAGCAAGACUCCGUCUCAAAAAAGAAAAAAAAAAAAAAAAGAAAGUACAGCAAACAGAGUGACGUAAACAACAGAAAUUUAUUGUCUCAUGGUUCUGGAGUCUACAAGUUGGACAUCUAGGUAUUUGCAGGUUGGUUCCUUCUAAGGGCUGUGAGGGAGAAUCUGCUCCAUGACUCUUCCCUGGCUUCUGGUUUGCUGGAGAUUUUUUACAUUCCUUGGCUUAUAGAUCCCUGUCUUCGUGUUCAUAUGAUGUUCUCCUCUGUGUAUCUGUGCCCAAAUUUCCCCUUUUCAUAAGGAUACCAAUCAUAUUAGACUACAGGCCCACCCUACAUUAUUAUAAAUUUGUCUUAACUAAUCACACUUGCAAAGACCCUAUUUCCAAAUAAGGCCAUGUUCUGGUGCAUUGGCAGUAGGACUUCAACUUAUGAAUUUUGGGGGGACACAAUUCAACCCAUAACAACUAGGUUUAUUCAUUUCUACCUUAGAAUCUUUGGUCCAGUCUGACCCAAGAUGGUAAAUAGUUUUCAUUUCAGUUGCUAAAUCUUAUCAAUUAAAGUCAUUACCUGGAGUGUUGUGUGAAGACAUGUGAGUUGACAUCUUUUUCCCUUUAGUGGGAAAGGCAACUGGAAUUGGUUCAGCCCACCUGAGAAACAGGAGAUUUAAAAAAUCCUACUGUCUAUCUUUGAACCAAGGACCCCACCCAAAAGGGAGAAACCUACAAAGAACUACUUUUUUCGGAGCUCUCCAAUUGAAAUGUUUCCCAAAAGGUGAUUGCCAAUUUGCAAUCUUGCUACAGACAAUCACGCUAGCAGGGCCAUCAAGCCCAUCCCACGAGAAUGAUCAAAUCUCCAAUAAGACUCAGCUGUUCCAUGGGGGAGUGAUGGGAAUGAAGCAUUUAGAAAGAUAAAAUCACCUGGGUUUUCUGAAUGUUUUCCCCGCUGAGGUUGAGGCUGAGAACUUGCAUUGGCUGAAGACUUGCAGCUGGAACCAGAUAGGAAGUAAGCUUCUGGAAGCACUAAAAUGAAUUGUCACUCCCACUCUUGAUACCCACAGCAUCAAAACCACCAGAUGCUGACAGCUGCUGUGGAAAUCUAAGCAAGUGGAGGGAUAUCCAGAUUGAGCUGGCCAAGUUUGGUACAAGAGCUAAGAGUCUGGAAACAAUGGGAGGUCAGCUUUCUGUGUCACUCUGGAUACAAAGGAAGUACUUUUGAGACACAGACAGGAAGUGACUGAGGACCUUAAAGGCAGCUUGGGCUAUCCAGGAAAGUUCUUCAUUCUUGUUUUUUUCUGCUGAGGCUCUAGAGGGACACCUGUCAGACUGACCAAGGCCGAAGAUGGCUCCCUACCAGAGAGAUUCAACUGAGGGCUUGCGAUAGGUCUUGAGACAUUGCUAUUGAUCUUGAGACAUUCAUCUGAAGCAUGAUUGUCACUGGCUUGAAACUUUCCCCAUCAUAAGAGAGGGACUGGGUCUACUUCAAAUGUUUCGCACUAAUGAAGUUACAUUCCCUUUCAUGGUGAGCCCUGCCCUCAUCAUGAGACCAUGCCCAGGCUAGUCUGCUGGAAGGAAGUCAGAGGCACACGGAAGAGAGCCACAUUCAGCCAAGGCCGUUCUAGACCAGUUGUUCCCUGUCACUUCACUAAUUGGCCACAGCACAAGGUACACGGAUGGAGCUGGAAGCCAUUAUCCUCAGCAAACUAAUGUAGGAACAGAAAACCAAAUACUGCAUGUUCUUACUUAUAAGUGGGAGCUGAACAAUGAGAACACAUGGACACAGGGAGGGAAACACACACUGGGGCCUGUCCAGCAGUAGGGUUGAGGGAGGGAAAGCAUUAGGAAAAAUAGCUAUGCAUGCUGGGCUGAAUACUGCGUGAUGGAUUGAUAGGUGCAGCAAACCACCAUGGCAUAUGUUUACCUUUGUAAGAAACCAGCACAUCCUGCACAUGUACCCUGGAACUUAAAAUAAAAAUUAAAAUGUUUUUUAAAAAA